CAUUUCAACUGUUUGUUGUCACCUUCACUUUUUUCGUUGUGCCUCAAAGGUUCCUCCAUGUCAUCGCUGUGUGACAGCGGAGCUAAGAGAUUGUCUGGAGGUGGUCCUCCACAGUGGUCUCCACUUGAACUCUGAUGAUGAAGCUGUGGGCACUCAGUGGUCCGUCUUCAAUCUUCAUCGAGACACCAGCGGAGAUUUCAUGAAAAAAAGGACAUUGGCAGGAUAGGUCGGCCAACACCGUACCUGGCUGGCUUCUUUCAACCUGAAUAAGGAUACUUAUUCCGGUAUUUCCAGACCAGCACGAAUAUGAGCUCUGACUACACAACAACAACUACAGAGCAUUUCAACUGUUUGUCGUCACUUUCACGGUCC